AUACGAGGGUUGCAAGCGUUAAUCGGAAUUACUGGGCGUAAAGCGUUCGUAGGCGGCUUGUUAAGCAAGAUGUGAAAGCCCUGGGCUCAACCUGGGAACUGCAUUUUGAACUGGCAAGCUAGAAUACUGUAGAGGGUGGUGGAAUUUCCAGUGUAGCGGUGAAAUGCGUAGAGAUUGGAAGGAACAUCAGUGGCGAAGGCGGCCACCUGGACAGAUAUUGACGCUGAGGAACGAAAGCGUGGGGAGCGAACAGGAUUAGAUACCCCGGUAGUCC
rnacentral:rRNA from 1 species